rnacentral:rRNA from 1 species
UACGGAGGGUGCAAGCGUUAUCCGGAUUCACUGGGUUUAAAGGGCGCGUAGGCGGGGAGGUAAGUCGGGUGUGAAAUCCCUCGGCUCAACCGAGGAACUGCGCCCGAGACUGCCUUUCUUGAGUCCCGGAGAGGAAGGUGGAAUUCCCGGUGUAGCGGUGAAAUGUGUAGAGAUCGGGAGGAACACCGGUGGCGAAGGCGGCCUUCUGGACGGUGACUGACGCUGAGGCGCGAAAGCGUGGGGAGCAAACGGG